rnacentral:lncRNA from 1 species
UGACCAAAACAACGAAAAUGAAAUCAAAUAAAAAUCAAAGCUUGUACAUGCCAAUUUUUCUUAGCAGCGCGAAUAACAGAAUUAUACAUUAUAUUCCAUGGUUGUAUGCUCUUGAUCGAAAGAAGCAUGAGAGACUUGAAUCGCACAGAACCAAAGAAGAUGUAAAGGAUCAACACUUAAAUGUGGCUCUACAUUCAUAAAAGGCUUCCCUGUCCGGUGCCUUGUAGAACUCCUUCAAGCACUCACAUACGGCUGUUGCUUUGUUCCAUUCUUCUGCAGGUGGAUUCAUUUUGAAAUCAUCAUCCACUUGCUCUAGGUGAUUAAAAGCUGUUAUAAAUUCCGAUGAACUCUCCAGUAUAAGAACGGUGGUGUCCCAUCUGUUAGGUGUGUUGCCAUUUAAUGUGCAGCAACCUAACAUUGACUUUGACCAUCCACCUUUGUUGAAAAUAAGGUUGGAGUUGGUGGCACCAUCAUGCUAUAUAUAGGCACCAUCUUGAGAGCUAAAUGUGAGAUGUGUGAGGCAUAACGUGAGAGAGAGUGCAAAGAGAAAGAGGAGUUGCUGCCAUGGGCAGUGAGAGAUGGGAGUUGAGUGGAUGUAAUCCUCCUCCAUGUAUUGUGUUGUAAUCCUUUCUCUAUCUCUAAAUAUAUUGUCUCUCCCGUGGAUGUAGGCGAUUUGCCGAACCACGUUAAAUAUUGUGUGUCAGUGAGCUUACCCCUCUAUGAGCAAUUAUCAGUACAUCACCGGUCGCCGGAUUCCGCCCAACAAUUGGUAUCAAAGCUUUUUGGUUUAAAGUGGUGUUUGAUCUUUGCUCAAAAAUGAAAGUUGUCAAACUGAUGUUUUGAACAUUCGACUGUGUAGAGAAGGAUGAUACGAAGCCACCGGUGAAAACGGCGUCAAAAUCGGACAUCAGACAUGGCCGCACUCUCCAUCACUCUCCGGCAAGGCGUCUUUCCACGCGCUCAGACGCGCCCACGCGUCUUCUUCACCCGGAUGAGUUGACCCAACCCGAAUACCAGUCGACCCGACCCAUGCGAACAGUUGGAAUGAACAGUGACGUUAUCAUGAACAGUACCAUGCAAAGGAUGACAUCAGCAUGAUGCAAGAAUGACAUCAGCAUACACAGUCAGCAAGCCAUUGACUAGUCAACAGACAUGUCAGCAUAGUGGGAUCCACCUGCCACGUCAUUAGCCGCGAGCCAAGCCGAAAUGGAGCCGAGCCGAGCCGCGAGCCGAGGUAUAGGAUCCAGUGUAGCUGAUCCUACGUGCAACCGGAUCUGAGAUUGAAUCUAAGCUGUGGAUAAGGCCAGAAUUGUUUUGAUCAAAUCUUAGCCGUCUGAAGUUCGAUUUGGACGAUUCAAGACAUGUUUCCAGCUAAUUUGAUCAUUCCGAAUGCAAUAGUAUGGUCCGAUCGUUGAGAUUCGAGACCAAAAAUGGCGGUGGUGAAUUAUUAAAGAGAAAUUGCCCGAUCAGGAGGCAUCUGAAGGUCAUCAUGGUGGUCGAUGGAGAUGAAGAAGAAGAAGGUGUACAUGUUUACCCAAUUACAUGUGUUGAACUAUUAAAUGGGAAAAUUUUAAUUGCCUUGAUAGAAGGCAAAAUUGGGACACUCUGGACACCCGGUUAUGUGGACAAUCAGAGGUGGAGAGUGAAAAUUAACGAUUGACCAAUCUUGACGAAUCUAAGCACUAGUAGUCUCGCUAGAUGUUGAGAAAUCAUGUAUUAAACCUGUAUAUUCCAGAUCACUUGUAAAGGAAAGCCGCAACAGAGCUAGCAAAUGGUUGUAUAUACGGAAAGACAGUACGAUGGAUAGAUAUGGCCUAAGAAGUUCUGUCUAGGAGAUUGAGUUUUAAGCGGGACCGUUGUGACCCCUCCAAUCUUUCCUGGGAACUUGCUUAGUGGAAGGAUUAUCCAUACGGUACUAUUUUCGUAUAUAUAGCAGUUUGUAAUGAAACGGUUGAAGACUAGCAGGAUGACGGCACAAGGGGAACAGUUGGGUUCCGCAUGAUCAAGGAUCUGAUGGAGUGGUGAUUUCUCCAUAGAAGGCAGAUUCGGUGACUAUGUUUUCUCAAGGGGACAAUUGAUGAAGACCCUAAUAAUGGAAGAGAAAUACAACAAGGGGAUAAAGAUUGGCACCCUAUUUUGACUUGGACAGGUGUUGUGACGGGAUGAGCUGCUGUCAAACAUAAGCAAGGAAUAUGGAGAAAUCUGGAGAAUAGUAAUUGCACGAGGGCACACGAAGAUUGUGCAAGAGUACCCGAGGGAUCCAACGAGGUACUGUAAUGAGACAACAGGUGCAAGGAGAAGAAGUGUUCCCAGAUGAAGCUAAGAGCAGAGACUGUUAAAGUUUGUACAACAGAAAGUCUCUUAUGCUCUUGAUGAAGACAACAGGCGAAGACCUUUCCAAUGCAUGCAAGGAUGGAAAGAGAGCUGUUGCAGAGGCACCUAAUUGAGGGGGUGCAAACGCCUAUGAUGAAAGGCAAAGCCACCAAAGAGAGUUGGGUGUAGGUGGAGCUGUCGAGCAGAAAGGCAUAGAAGCUCCAAACAUAGAAAUCAAGGUGGAGGAUUGCGAGGAGUAUACCGUAACUUUCUCUUUCUAUGUAGUCAGUGGCAGUAAUCUCUCCCAAGUCCACAUGGUGGUAGAGAAUCUUGGAGCCACUGAAGUCAUCCCGAUGAAGGAGGAUGAGACCGCUCCACAACGAGCGGAGAACCUCAGGAGAAGGUAUGAGGGCCAUGAUAGAAGCCCCAGAUUCAGACCGCCUUAUGACAACAGGCGAAGACACCUUAGAGAAGGUGUGAGGGCCGCGAUAGGAGCCCCAUUUCAGACCGCCGCAUGACGACGAGCGGAGACACCCGAGAAGAAGGUGUGUGGGCCAAGAUAUGAGCCCAGUACAGAACGCCCCAGAGCCGAUGUGAUGGCUGGAUAUAAGUGGACAUGUGUAUAGCCAAAUGAAGUGGCUAUGAUGAGUAUGAAGACAAAUGCAGGAUUGACUUUCAUGGAUAUUGCCCCCAUGCUAAAGAUCAAUGAGCUAGAAGACAUUUGCCUUGGACAAUAAGUGUGUGACUUGUGGAGCAUUAAGACGCGACUGCUAUGAAGGAGCAGAGGGCAUGCGCAGGUUCCGGGAACGAGUUGACUCUUGUCAAGGUGGUGAGCUCGGAGAUGGCAUUGUAAUACUCAGAGUAUGAAGACAGAUAUGGAUCAACCUUUAAUGGGCUGCCCCCAUGGUUAAAGGUGGAGAGCUACCUGGACUCUUACGACUAAGAGCGAGAGACUCACGGAGAAGUAAGGCGUGGUUCCUAGGGUGGAACAGAGGGCAGGCGCAACUCCUGGAUGAGUAGACUCUUGGAAGAGUGGUGAGCUUGUGAUCACAUUGAAAUGCUCAAUGACUGUCGCACUUGUGAAUAUUCGUUUGAGGGGGUGUUGUAAGCCUUGGUGUGAGGCUUGAUAAAUCAUUCCGGACCGAGCAUGGUUGAUACGCUCGAAGGGGAAUGUUCCCAGAGACAAGCGUUAACACUCUUCAGAUGUGAUGUGUGAGACCAUCUGGUUGAAGUGAUCCUUUGGUGUAAGCAAGGGUGUGCUUUGGUGACUCUGGUGAUUGAAAGGUUUGACGAGUACCUGUAAACUUGGUCGCAGACGCUCUCGGAAUGGUAAGCUUGGAAGAACUGCAGGAUGCAAGAUUGUGCUGAAGAAGCAAGAGGACAAUUGCCCAUAUAAAUGUCAAAGGGGGUGAUUGUUAGGUGUGUUGCCAUUUAAUGUGCAGCAACCUAACAUUGACUUUGACCAUCCACCUUUGUUGAAAAUAAGGUUGGAGUUGGUGGCACCAUCAUGCUAUAUAUAGGCACCAUCUUGAGAGCUAAAUGUGAGAUGUGUGAGGCAUAACGUGAGAGAGAGUGCAAAGAGAAAGAGGAGUUGCUGCCAUGGGUAGUGAGAGAUGGGAGUUGAGUGGAUGUAAUCCUCCUCCAUGUAUUGUGUUGUAAUCAUUUCUCUAUCUCUAAAUAUAUUGUCUCUCCCAUGGAUGUAGGCGAUUUGCCGAACCACGUUAAAUAUUGUGUGUCAGUGAGCUUACCCCUCUAUAAGCAAUUAUCAGUACAUCACCGGUCGCCGGAUUCCGCCCAACACCAUCUCGCCGGAACAUCUAGAGUAGGCAUUUCCCUGUCCUGCAAACUCUCAAUUAUUAAUUGCCUCCUAGAACCUCAGCCUUCUAAGUGAGCUUCCGUUGACGUACUCUAUACAUUCUCUUAUCUUAUAAAGCACACAUCUUGAGCAAGGAGGCUGAGAGUUUGGGCAUAACUAGGAACACAGAAAAGAUGUCCAUGGAUAGGUGGGGCUUGAUCAGAAACCUUACUUCUUAAUUCUCCAAUCAUGUGAUCCUUCGGAGGAGUUAUAUCCAGGAAUAUGAAGCGAACGUUCUUGUUGAUUCUCCACUCUGCAAGUACACUUUUAAAGUAUUUGAGCCUGACAAACACGCUCUAUUUAAUUGUCUUGGAUCUGAGAACCAUGGUUAAUGCAAAAUCCAGGCACGAGCCAGCAUAGUUGCCAUAACAGAGAAAAUACCAGUCUUCCUAGAAAAUGUAUAGAAAGCACGAGCAUCCAAGAACACAAAUAAGCUUACACUAAAAAGUAUUGGUUGAACUUGGGAAGCAAGUGAUGAGUGUUUGAUGAAACGGCCAAGCGAACACGAAGUGAAACCAAAUAAGCUUACACUAAAAAGUGCUGAAAAGCAGCGAUCAUAAAAUUCACAAUCAAUACAGCCCAUAUUAACAAAACUAUUUUAAAAACAAUUAUUAUUAUAUUUUUCUGCCAAAAGUGAAUCAGCAGUAUCCAAGUCACCAUCUUCAAUUGCCUUAGCACACUCCAUUAAUCUGAAAUAAAAAAUGAUGAAUAAUAUUAAAAAGAAUGAGUAUUAAAUUUGAUAGGUAAAAAAUUUAAUAAAAAAAUUAUAAAAGAAAAAUCAAUAAUAAUCAUAAAAAUAAAGACCAAAAUUAAUAUAAAAAUCAAAUUCUAAGAGAUAAAAUUUUUUAAAAAGAUUCAAAACAAAAUAUAUAUAGCAAUCAAAAGUUUGAGGAUCAAAUUUGAUAUAAUCAGUAAAUAAUAUGAUAUUUUUAAUUUUUUUUCACAACUUCUGAAAAGUAUUUUCCAUCCAAAAUAAAAGAAAAAUACUUUUCUAAAAUCCAAGCUAAAUUUUAUUUUGACUUGAAAGUGUUUUAUUAUCAACAAAUACUGAAUUUUUAUUUUUAUCAUAAUUUUAUUAUCUAUUAUUCAAUAUAGGAUAAAUAACCUCUUAAUGAGAUUUAUUCUUAAAAGUUGUCAUAGAAGUUAUGCACCUCUUAACUAGAUUUAUUCAUAAAAAUUGUUAUAAAAGUGAUAUUAAAAUCAUUUCAUAAGAAUAUUUUCAAAGGCACUUUAGAUUAUUAUUUUUAAUUAAAAAUAAACAACAAUAAAAUUUACUGUAGAUAUAAUACAUAAAGUAAUGUCUAUCUUUAUUAUUAUAUAAUCAACCUCCUUAAUUAGAAAUUUUGAAAAAACUAGUUAAAGUAUUUAGUUAUUAUAAAACUAAAUAACAAGUUGUUUUUAUAUUUUUAUUUCUUUCUCACUCACUAGCUCGCUAGGAUGUCCACUUGAGAUAAAAUCAUUAGAUCAAAAAAUAUUAAACCAAUUGAUUUUGAAUUGGAUGUGACACGAGUCAAUUAAAGUUACUAAAAACCAACUCAUAUCAUGUCAAUUUAACAUGCUAAUGUCUUGUAUAGUUUAACUAAAAAUCAAUCUAGAUCAACUCUUGUAUCCUAGUCUAUCUACCAAGUCAAAUUAGAUUUAACAACUAUAAUAGCAAUAUGAAAGGAUUAAGGUGUGUUUAGAAAUAAAAAAAACAACUCUUUUUUAGUUUUCUUUUUUCAAUGAAAAAUUAAUAAACAAGCUCAUUUUUGUCAACAAAAUGUAUUUUUUUCAAAAAUAAAAAAAAAUCAAGAAUACAUGUAGUUUUUAUAAAAAAGCAAAAGAAAAUCACAAUUUAUAAUUAUUAUCUUAUUAUUUUAUAUUUGUGAUAAUCUAAUUAUAGAAUAUUUAUUUUAUUUUAUUCAAAUUAAAAAUUAUCAUUAAAAAUUUAUAUUAUUAACUUAAAAACUUAUAUUUGUGAUAAUCUAACUUAAAAAAGAUUGAUUUAAAUAUGAUUAACAUAAUCAUAGGUGAAAUAAUGCAAACAUAAUUUUGCUGGUCUUAAAUGAAGGGAAUUGAUGUAUAAUGCUACCUAAAUUAGUUUCGCACAUAUUAAUAAUUUUGGUGAAUGCAAAUAAAUAUUUGCAAGAAAGGAGAAAUUUUCAUGAACACCUUAAAAUACAAAAUACUUUAUCAUAAAGUUUUAUUCGGGCUUGAAAGCUUGUUUUAGCGGCUGGAUGUAAACUAUUUCACAGUACUAGCAACUACCAGUGAGGAUCCAAACAUGAAUCAAUUGCUGAAGAAAAGAAGAAGAAGAAAUAAUAGCAGAGAUAUAAAAGCAUCACACUUAAAUCGAGCAAAAAGAAAAAGGAAAACUCACUUGCAGUUAGGGCUGUCCAACCAAUCCUUUCCACAUAUCAAAGCCUCAGCCAUCUCAGGACGAACACCGUCAUGGACUGAUGCCAUCUUCAUAACCUCUGAUGACUUGGAAAUGACAGUUGAUACUGGAAUUGAUAAGAAAUCACGAGCCAUUUUUCCCAGUAUUGGAAAAUUUUGAGCAUUGUCUCGCCACCAAGCUAAUACGUUUCCAUCCUUAUCCAAGUUCUCCGGAGGCUGUUCUAGAUACUGAACAAGUUCAUUCCAUUGUGAGUGCACCGUAUUGCGUUCAUACUUACCCUUGCGCCACUCUUUGAAACUAAUACCAGAUGAUGUACGAAUCACGUCCGCCAUGGCAGAAGAAGAUGGUCCCUGACUGCGGAAGUCCUUUGCAUAUUUAUUGUAUUCACAUAUAAGAUUGUCAAGGAAUUUCUGGUAGUAGUGCAAGUAAGCAUCACUGCCGUAUAUCUGCCGGUAGCCAUACUCAAUAAAGUCCAAUUUAAAGCUGGGGUCAAGAACUGCUGAGAUUCCCAAAGCCAAGCUAGCUUCUCCCCAAUACUCGUCAAAUUUUCCCUUCAUUCUAUUUGCCAUAGCGCGAACAUAUACAUGAUCGCUCUGUUUCCAGCCUUGUAAGUUCUUAUAAACAUCACGAACACUGAGGAAAUAAUCAUCUCUGCUUGUCGGAAAAUUGCAUGUUGACUUGUAGAACUCUUUCAAGCACUCGAAUACGGCUGUUGCUUUGUUCCAUUCUUCCGCAGAUGGAUUCACUUUGAAAUCAUCAUCCAAUUGCUCUAGGUGAUUAAAAGCUGUUAUAAAUUCCAAUGAACUCUCCAGCAUAAGAAAGGUGGUGUCCCAUCUCGCCGGAACAUCUAGAGUAGGCAUUUCCCUGUCCUGCAAACUCCAAUUAGUAAUUGCCUCCUGGAACCUCAGCCUUCUAAG